rnacentral:rRNA from 1 species
GACGAACGCUGGCGGCGUGCUUAACACAUGCAAGUCGAACGGAAAGGCCCUGCUUUUGUGGGGUGCUCGAGUGGCGAACGGGUGAGUAACACGUGAGUAACCUGCCCUUGACUUUGGGAUAACUUCAGGAAACUGGGGCUAAUACCGGAUAGGAGCUCCUGCUGCAUGGUGGGGGUUGGAAAGUUUCGGCGGUUGGGGAUGGACUCGCGGCUUAUCAGCUUGUUGGUGGGGUAGUGGCUUACCAAGGCUUUGACGGGUAGCCGGCCUGAGAGGGUGACCGGCCACAUUGGGCCUGAGAUACGGCCCAGACUCCUACGGGAGGCAGCAGUGGGGAAUAUUGCACAAUGGGCGGAAGCCUGAUGCAGCAACGCCGCGUGCGGGAUGACGGCCUUCGGUUUGUAAACCGCUUUCGCCUGUGACGAAGCGUGAGUGACGGUAAUGGGUAAAGAAGCACCGGCUAACUACGUG